rnacentral:rRNA from 1 species
CAGCCGCCGCGGUAAAACCAGCACCUCAAGUGGUCAGGAUGAUUAUUGGGCCUAAAGCAUCCGUAGCUCGUUUUGUAAGUUUUCGGUUAAAUCCAUGCGCUUAACGUAUGGGCUGCCGGGAAUACUGCAUAACUAGGAAGUGGGAGAGGUAGACGGUACUCGGUAGGAAGGGGUAAAAUCCUUUGAUCUAUUGAUGACCACCUGUGGCGAAGGCGGUCUACCAGAACACGUUCGACGGUGAGGGAUGAAAGCUGGGGGAGCAAACCGGAUUAGAUACCCGGGUAGUCCCAGCUGUAAACUAUGCAAACUCAGUGAUGCAUUGGCUUAUGGCCAAUGCAGUGCUGCAGGGAAGCCGUUAAGUUUGCCGCCUGGGAAGUACGUACGCAAGUAUGAAACUUAAAGGAAUUGGCGGGGGAGCA